rnacentral:rRNA from 2 species
UACGGGGGGGGCAAGCGUUGUUCGGAAUUACUGGGCGUAAAGGGCUCGUAGGCGGCCAACUAAGUCAGACGUGAAAUCCCUCGGCUUAACCGGGGAACUGCAUCUGAUACUGGAUGGCUUGAGUUCGGGAGAGGGAUGCGGAAUUCCAGGUGUAGCGGUGAAAUGCGUAGAUAUCUGGAGGAACACCGGUGGCGAAGGCGGCAUCCUGGACCGACACUGACGCUGAGGCGCGAAAGCGUGGGGAGCAAACAGG